rnacentral:rRNA from 1 species
AGCAGCCGCGGUAAUUCCAGCUCCAAUAGCGUAUAUUAAAGUUGUUGCAGUUAAAAAGCUCGUAGUUGAAUUUCGGGAUCAAUUUAUCGGUCGUGCCUAUGGUAUGAACUGGUACAAUUGGUUUCUCCCUUCUGACGAAGCAUGAUGUCAUUAAUUUGGUGUCGUGGGGAAUCAGGACUGUUACUUUGAAAAAUUAGAGUGUUUAAAGCAAGCAUUAGCUUGAAUACAUUAGCAUGGAAUAAUGAAAUAGGACGUUUGAUCCUAUUUCGUUGGUUUCUAGGAUCGACGUAAUGAUUAAUAGGGAUAGUUGGGGGCAUUAGUAUUCAAUUGUCAGAGGUGAAAUUCUCGGAUUUAUUGAAGACUAACUACUGCGAAAGCAUUUGCCAAGGAUGUUUUCAUUAAUCAAGAACGAAAGUUAGGGGAUCGAAGACGAUCAGAUACCGUCGUAGU